UAUUCAAGCUCUUCGCCAGAAUUCCGCAUCCGAGGGGAGGUUGCGGGCGUUUCCCCGUCCACUGCUCGUAUGCCUGCCCAGCAGCUCGUGCGUGGGGCCGACCACAGGCAGGGGGAUGGCAGGAAGAGAGAGGCAUAGGCCUCCUCUCCCACUCCAACUGCGUGCAUCCUGGGGAAAUGGGUUAACCCUUCCCAUGACUGAGAUUGUGCACGACCUUGUACUGGGCGCCCUCUGCUGGCCGACAGAUGCUCGAGCAGACAGUGUAUGCAGUGGCAUAUACCGUCUGUAAAAUGCUGUUGAAGAAACCUGAAAUGGGAUCUAAACAAGACAAAAUCAAGGGUGGACUUCUACCAUGCCAGGAUGUUUCUUACUCAUGACCACUGGGAGGCUGUAUGCUGCCUUAGCUGAGCUAACUGGAUGGUUUAUUCAGGAACAUUGAACAAUCCUCGGACCCCGGGGAAAGCCAGCCCACAGCUUAAAUAGCCUCUGGGUAGCCUACCCAGGCGUGCCACGGGGGCAAUGCAGAUAGGUCCACAUACAUGGAAGCAAGCCAGAUCCUCGGCCUUAGCCAAAUGUGGAGUUGUUCGUGACAGAGAGCACUCACCAUCGGGAAGGUGGAAGGCGGAAACCAGCUCCAUCUCUAAGGCAUAGCAUUCCGCAGCUCUCUACAGUUCCCCCUUUUUGUUUUAGACGCAUCAGGCAAGAGUAGAGGUCUGAUCUCUGAUAUUAGAAAUAAUUGUGUUUUGCAUUACUGGGGAAUUUCUGCACUAUGAUUCAAUUUCUUUUUUUUUCUACAGAAAAAUGUCUGAGUCUUUUUUUUUAAUUAGGCAUUUUAAAUUACUUAUAGUUUCUUCACAUUGUAUCUUAGCUGUAGCACCCUUGUUCAUUCCCUCCACAUCUUCCCAUGCUCAUCUCCUCUCAUGCCCCUCUCCAAGUCUUCUGAUAGGGAGGUCCUCCUCCUGUUCCCUCUGAUCCUAGCCUAUCAGUUCUCAUCAGGACUGGCUGCAUUUUAAGUGGACCAGGGACUGCCUCUGACAUUAACUCAGUGGCUGGCUCUUUGAUCACCUCCCCUUAACAGGGAGCAGCCUUACUAGGCCAUAGAGGGAGACAAUGCAGCCAGCCGUGAUGAGACCUGAGCCUUAUGAAAAUACUAAACUUAACUUUAUCUAUCCACUGUUUAAAAAUCUUUGUGACCUGGAGAUUGUUAAGCAGAGUUAAGCAGAGAGAGAGCUGAGGCCAUUAUUUCAGGAGUUUUCUUGGGGUAUAUGAAUUUCUAAACAGUAUAUUGGUGCAGGGUAAACAGAGGCAAUGUGACUACCCUGAGAGGCCUGGAGAUUCAUGUAUAGGUUUAAGAUCUUUUAUUAUAGGCUUAGAGCUUCCUGAAAAUGUAGUUUAAAGAUACAAGGUCACAGAGAGCACACUCCUGACCAAAUAAAACUCAGUAAAUAAGAUAAAUUGACUUAAAUAAACCUUUUCUACUUUGUAGCAUAGAUGGUGAUCCAUAGAUAGAGUGAAGGGAGCUAUUUAUUUGUAUUUGCUAUGCAUAAAGAGAUCAGUUAAAGUGUUUUCUGUUUCUCUGGACUACACUCAUACUGCAAACAAUGGGAGCCUGAAAGCAGGCUUUCACAUAUUAAAUGUGUUUUCUUUGAAGGAGACAUUCUUUAGAUUGUUUAAAGUAGAGUUAUAGGGCCAAUAAUGAUAAUCAAAUAUAUUCCGUGUGUACUGCUUAAAUUGUAACUGAGCUUUUAUCCCUGCAUAAUUAAAAAACAUCAAACACCCA